CCUACGGGUGGCAGCAGUGGGGAAUAUUGCACAAUGGGGGAAACCCUGAUGCAGCAACGCCGCGUGAAGGAAGACGGUUUUCGGAUUGUAAACUUCUGUUCUUAGUGAAGAAUAAUGACGGUAGCUAAGGAGCAAGCCACGGCUAACUACGUGCCAGCAGCCGCGGUAAUACGGAGGAUGCGAGCGUUAUCCGGAUUUAUUGGGUUUAAAGGGUGCGUAGGCGGGCUGUUAAGUCAGCGGUAAAAGCCCGGGGCUCAACCGCGGGACUGCAUUGGGAACUACCGGGCUGGAGUGCCGGAGAGGUAGGCGGAAUUCCUAGUGUAGCGGUGAAAUGCGUAGAUAUUAGGAGGAACACCAGUGGCGAAGGCGGCCUACUGGACGGUGACUGACGCUGAGGCUCGAAAGCGUGGGGAGCAAACAGGAUUAGAUACCCGAGUAGUC
rnacentral:rRNA from 1 species